CCUACGUGUGGCAGCAGUGAGGAAUAUUGGUCAAUGGGCUAAGGCCUGAACCAGCCAAGUCGCGUGAGGGAAGACGGUCCUAUGGAUUGUAAACCUCUUUUGUCGGGGAGCAACGAGGCCACGUGUGGCCGAAGUGAGAGUACCCGAAGAAAAAGCAUCAGCUAACUCCGUGCCAGCAGCCGCGGUAAUACGGAGGAUGCGAGCGUUAUCCGGAUUUAUUGGGUUUAAAGGGUGCGUAGGCGGAACAUUAAGUCAGCGGUAAAAUCGAGGGGCUCAACCCCUUUAAGCCGUUGAAACUGGCAGUCUCGAGUUGGAGAGAAGUAUGCGGAAUGCGCGGUGUAGCGUUGAAAUGCAUAGAUAUCGCGCAGAACUCCGAUUGCGAAGGCAGCAUGCCGGCUCCACACUGACGCUGAGGCACGAAAGCGUGGGUAUCGAACAGGAUUAGAUACCCCAGUAGUC
rnacentral:rRNA from 1 species